AGUAUUUUUAAUGAGAUAAAUCACUUAGGAAUCUUAGCUUCCCUCCCCUUAAAUUUUUCUUGAAUCUUAUAAGAAGUUUAAAACUAGUAGAUUAAUAUUGGAAACAAGUAUAAAACCCCUCGGUAGAAAUGGAGACUAAUAGCAUGCUAUCUGGUUCUUUGUAGAAAUCAUUAAAAUGUAGAUGUAGAUUUGUGUCCUGAUUUUAUUUAUUUUAGUUUAAGCUAUGGCAUCAUUGACAGCCUUAGGUGUGCCAGCCAUUAUGGCCAAAGUUUCUUUACCAAGUGAUGCUGCAUGGAAUAGCUAAUUGUCGAACUUCAGCAGAAGUUGGAU
rnacentral:lncRNA from 1 species